GAUGAACGCUGGCGGCGUGCCUAAUACAUGCAAGUCGAGCGAACGGACGAGAAGCUUGCUUCUCUGAUGUUAGCGGCGGACGGGUGAGUAACACGUGGAUAACCUACCUAUAAGACUGGGAUAACUUCGGGAAACCGGAGCUAAUACCGGAUGAUAUUUUGAACCGCAUGGUUCAAAAGUGAAAGACGGUCUUGCUGUCACUUAUAGAUGGAUCCGCGCUGCAUUAGCUAGUUGGUAAGGUAACGGCUUACCAAGGCAACGAUGCAUAGCCGACCUGAGAGGGUGAUCGGCCACACUGGAACUGAGACACGGUCCAGACUCCUACGGGAGGCAGCAGUAGGGAAUCUUCCGCAAUGGGCGAUAGCCUGACGGAGCAACGCCGCGUGAGUGAUGAAGGCCUUCGGAUCGUAAAACUCUGUUAUUAGGGAAGAACAUAUGUGUAAGUAACUGUGCACAUCUUGACGGUACCUAAUCAGAAAGCCACGGCUAACUACGUG
rnacentral:rRNA from 1 species